rnacentral:rRNA from 1 species
UACGUAGGGGGCUAGCGUUGUCCGGAAUCAUUGGGCGUAAAGAGCGUGUAGGCGGCCCGGUAAGUCCGCUGUAAAAGCCAAAGGCUCAACCUUUGAAUGUCAGUGGAUACUGCCGGGCUAGAGUCCGGAAGAGGCGAGUGGAACUCCUGGUGUAGCGGUGGAAUGCGCAGAUAUCAGGAAGAACAUCGGUGGCGAAAGCGCUCUGCUGGACUGCAACUGACACUCAGGGACGAAAGCUAGGGGAGCGAAUGGG